CUAUCUCGGUUUUGCAAAACGACCCGUCGACUGUUCGUACUUCAGAGGCGAACCAGAGUUAGAUUGCUUGUCAGGAUCACGUGGAUUUAGCAAGCAGUUUAUGAUUUGAGCGUUUGGUCGAUCUCCAUUUCUUCAUUCCCGGAGGUUUUUAUUUUAUUUUCAGAAUAAAAGAGUCG